rnacentral:rRNA from 1 species
UACGGAGGAUGCAAGCGUUAUCCGGAUUCACUGGGUUUAAAGGGUGCGUAGGUGGGCAGGUAAGUCAGUGGUGAAAUCUCCGGGCUUAACCCGGAAACUGCCAUUGAUACUAUCUGUCUUGAAUACCGUGGAGGUGAGCGGAAUAUGUCAUGUAGCGGUGAAAUGCUUAGAUAUGACAUAGAACACCCAUUGCGAAGGCAGCUAACUACGCGAUAAUUGACGCUGAUGCACGAAAGCGUGGGGAUCAAACAGG